UAAAUGGUAAGUCGUUUUUGCCGUGAUAAGACACUGAAUUAUGGUACGUUCCAGGUCGUGGUUCAGACGGGUCAGACAGAGCAGGGGCAAACGCAGGUCGGACUCCAGCUAGCUAGCUAACUGUUAGUUAACUCAGGCUAAAUACGGGGGAAAUGAUUUGGCGCUGUGUUAUUUGCUUUGUGUUCGUGGCUCUCACUCUCAAAUCUGUAUUGAGUCAUAUUAAUACUGCUCAUAGUCGCAGUCCAGAUUUUCGCGUUGUUUGUGGAAUUGAUGGAUGCACCAAAGAGUAUCGAGUCUACAACUCGCUAUGGUAUCACAUUAGAAGAAACCACCACGAACACCUGGAAAGUGGCAGCAGCAACUCACGGAGAGAGAGGUCAACAGCAGGCCCGGAAGCCUCUUCAGCGGUGAAUGCGUGAGCAUACAGGCCAGCUGAUGCGACGGUGCAAAUCCGAGAGCAUCAAACGGAUGAAGCAGUGGUGGACAACAGGGUGCAAGAUGUAAUGACUGUUGGGUCAUGUCCUGCUGUAGACUCUUCUGCAUCAUGUCAGUCAGAGGAUGACAUCAGGCGUAACACUCUGACCAGACAAGCUACUGCUAUUAUGUUGACUGCAAGAUAAACACACCAUCUUUCACAGAGAGGUGUGAAUGAUGUCUUGGCAGCAAUGCAGCAAUCAUGAUUCUUUCUUCUUCAGAUGAACAAUCAAUUAGCAGUCAGAUGCCGAUGCUGCAGGAUACUGCAUGUUCUUUUGUGAUUCAGGAUGCAAUUGA